GGGAGACACCAGAGCACCAACUUCUCUCACUUAAACCUUAUGACAACCUUAAGAAGUAGGCAGCAUGAUCCCCUUCUUGGAAAUGCAGAAAGAGAGAAUGGGGGAGAUUGAGAGGCUUGCAGAAUGUGACAUCAUUAGGGAGAACAGUGGUUGAGGUCCAGCAGCUCCUGCAGAUGGGUGGUGGUGGAAGGAGGAGAGAAUGGGCCACAGGCAGGCCAAGGGCAAGCUUAGCAGCACUCAACAUCCUCCAUGAACUCAACAGAAGUCAAGAAUGCAGGCAGCUCAUGAUGAAGACCUGCAGCGGCCCAGGUUUACCAAGCUCAUUCACAAUUGCAGUUGGAGAAUUCGUCUUUGGUCAUUUUCUACUUUGGAAAUACGGAAAAAAACAGUUCACAUGCUUUAAAAGACAGGAUCUCCCUCUGUUGUGCAGGCUGGUCUCAAACUCCUGCCUUCAAGCGAUCUUCCUGCCUGGCCUCCCAAAGUGUUGGAAUUACAGGCAUGAGCCACUGCACCCGCCCAGUAAAUCCUUUCUGAUACACCCUUAG
rnacentral:lncRNA from 1 species